GACGAACGCUGGCGGCGUGCCUAAUACAUGCAAGUAGGACGCAGUUGCGAACGGGUGAGUAACGCGUAGGUAACUACCUAUUAGAGGGGGAUAACUAUUGGAAACGAUAGCUAAUACCGCAUACUAGUAGAUGGACCUGCGUUGUAUUAGCUAGUAGGUAGGGUAAUGGCCUACCUAGGCAACGAUACAUAGCCGACCUGAGCGGGUGAUCGGGCAGACUGGGACUGUGAGACGGCCCAGACUGCGACGGGAGGCAGCAGUAGGGAAUCUUCGGCAAUGGGGGUAACCCUGACAGAGCAGCGCCGCGUGAGUGAAGAAGGUUGUCGGAUCGUAAAGCUUGUUUGUUAAUGAAGCGGUACUUAACCAGAAAGGGACGGCUAACUACGUGCCAGCAGCCGCGGUAAUUC
rnacentral:rRNA from 1 species